UACGUAGGUGGCAAGCGUUGUCCGGAAUUACUGGGCGUAAAGAGCGCGCAGGCGGCUGGUCAAGUCCGAUGUGAAAGCUCCCGGCUUAACUGGGAAAUUGCAUCGGAAACUGAUCGGCUUGAAGGUGGGAGAGGGUAGUGGAAUUCCCGGUGUAGUGGUGAAAUGCGUAGAUAUUAGGAAGAACACCGGUGGCGAAGGCGGCCCACUGGAUCGGUACUGACGCUGAGGUGCGAAAGCGUGGGGAGCAAACAGG
rnacentral:rRNA from 1 species